rnacentral:tRNA from 1 species
GCCUUCGUGGUGUAGUGGUCAGCCCGCUCGACGCGUAACCGAGAGGUCCGGGGUUCGAUUCCCGGCAAAGGCU